AGAUAAGUUACAGUUUUUUCUGCUCUGGCGCAUCCUCUGAAGGCUGAGAUGAAAGACAUGAUUCACUAGACUAAGACAUAUCCUGAAUCAAGAUGCCAGCCCCUCCUGCACCCCACGCUCCAGAGGCUGGUCUGCUGAAUGAUGGCUGUAUCUGCCCCGAGGACACUGUGAGCCCCACUCCCAGGUAUAAGCUGCAGAUAUAGCACCUCCUCCUUUACGUACUCCGUCUGUGGAAGGAAAACCAGGGAAGUAGGAGGUCAGAUGGGGUCAUGGUGACUUUCCACCAGGUCCCUGAACAAUAACCCAAGGAUUAAAUGUCUGGGCUCACUGUGAAGUACUCGUACCACAACGCAGAGGUUCCCUAGGCACUGAAACGACCUUAGGAGCCAACAUUUGGAAACAGUUUUCUGCUUGAAUAACUAGUGGGCUUCUCACAUCAUUACUGCACUUCAUGC
rnacentral:lncRNA from 1 species